UUUUUCAUCUGCCUCCUAAGUUUUAGUUCAGAGAUGGUAUGAUAAUUUAUGAGUUCUACCUUUGGCCUUGCUGUUGAUGUUCUAUUCAGAAAAAUGUAGCCAGUCAAAUCUGUAUUUAGGACCAAAUGUGGUGAAGCUUAAGCUAAUGUGAUACUGAUAUGAAAAGAAGAUUUAAGCAUCCUAAAUCCAGAAGCUAAUGUAUCCCUUUUUUUCCCUGAACCAGUUGCUUCCUCAUAAAGUUUCAUGAUAGAUAACAAAUGUAAUCUAUGAGAAGGGAUACGCUGUGCAAACUAUUGCAUGCAUACCGUGAUGGCUGGUUAGAAGAAGUGGUACUACGCCAUCUUGGCGCUGAAGAUGGAAA